GGAGAGAUGUCUGAGUGGUCGAAAGAGCCCGCCUCGAAAGCGGGUAGGUCCGCAAGGGCCUCGUGGGUUCGAAUCCCACUCUCUCCG
rnacentral:tRNA from 2 species